UACGGGGGGGGCAAGCGUUGUUCGGAAUUACUGGGCGUAAAGGGCUCGUAGGUGGUCAACUAAGUCGGACGUGAAAUCCCUCGGCUUAACCGGGGAACUGCGUCUGAUACUGGAUGACUUGAGUUCGGGAGAGGGAUGCGGAAUUCCAGGUGUAGCGGUGAAAUGCGUAGAUAUCGGGAGGAACACCAGUGGCGAAGGCGGCUUCUGGCCUGUUCUUGACGCUGAGGCGCGAAAGCUAGGGUAGCAAACGGG
rnacentral:rRNA from 1 species